AUAAUUUAGACAUACCUCAACAUUGGUUGUAAUUUAUCCUUUAAUUAAUCUAUAGUAUUAAACUUUUCAUUAACACCAAAAAUAGUCACCUUAGGCCAUGGGAACAUUCAAUCACAUCGGCCUCUGUUGUAGAAGGCCCAAAAAAGAAAUAAUUUGAUUUGUUAUAUAUAAUACUCUCUCUCUCUCUCUCUCUCUCUCUCUCUCUCUCUCUCUCUCAUUAAAAUAAGACAACAUACACAUUGGUGGCAUUUUUCAUACAUUUGAAGAAUGAUGAUAUUAUGACAUAAAAAAAUAGGUCCAAUGGUGUGAAAAGGAUUAGAGGAUCACUUACUCUGCUACGCCAUCUUGACUUUGCUGUCAACAACAUUCACACACAACACUUUCAAUUAAGACAACCUAAGAUAAUGUAGGCCCAAAACACACCUCAAAAACCAGAUUACCAAAUUAAUUACAUCAUAACUAAACAAUUACAUUUUCAUCCAAUAGCUACUAACCCACAACAUCAUGAAUCUUGCCAUCUAAAUAGGCCAACACCUCAAAUACAGAAGAAGAGAUAAAUUUCAUGUCACAAAAUCAAUUGUGACCAAAUAAAUUUUCUUGAUCUCUAAGGUUCAUAAAUCAUAAUACAAUCUUUUGCAAGUAUAACAAAUUAACAAUACAAUAAAA